GCAGGUGAGUCUAGGCGACAAGCUGGCCUCCAAAACCAGUUAACAGGGUUCGAAUCCUUGCAUCUGUGCCA
rnacentral:tRNA from 1 species